rnacentral:tRNA from 2 species
GGGCCUUUAGCUCAAUCGGAUAGAGUACCUGGCUUCGAACCAGGGGGUUACGGGUUCGAGUCCUGUAAGGCCCG